AAAAUUUUAUUGCUAUAAUUUUUCUGAAUUUCGGAACGUAUUUAAUAAAUUCUGUUUUAUCUAUGGUAUGGAUAUUUACUUUGCAAUAAUUUUCAUGACAUGAGACUACAUUUUGCUGCAAUUACAAGCGAUUUGAUCUGGUUUUGUUAUAAUUUCGUUUCAAUUUUAUGCGAAUAGGUACUGAGUUUAUAAAAGUAACAUAAUAUUGUCUUGUACUUAUAUAAUUAGUUUUUGUGUAUUUCGGAUUCCGUUUACAUCUAGGUACCUACUAUGUCGGGGUCCUACGAGAAAGCUGGCGUAUCAACGCCACGAAUAUUCAGGCGCCCGUAAAUCGUCAAAACGAGUGAAAAGCGCAUUCAGUUGGAUACAUGUGGACGACAAGAUAGUAAACCUGUAAAUUAUAACUCAAGUUGUGGCCAGCUUCAUUGUAAACAAACUUUAGUUUUCAAGUUCAAGGACAAAUGCGUGUCAGUAACAUGGAUAAAUGAUACUUCAUAUGUUUUAUUUCAGUCAAUGAACCUUUGACUGUUAUAGAAGUUUGUCGAGAUAAUAUAAUGACUUUAUCAGCAAUAUGAUGCCAAAGUUAAUACACUUUUUUAAAGAAUGUAUUCUGCCAGAAAUAGUUUUGAGACAUGUUCAAAAAAAUGCGAAAUGUAUAGGUAUGAAAGCAGCUGUGUAGCGGUAGUUUCCAGGCAAUAAUGAGGAAGGAUGAGUGAAAACAACACGACAAAUGUUUUUUUAUUGUACUAUUAUAGUAGUGUGUUUAGAAUCUACAUUAUCAAUGUUUACAGUCAUGUUUUUUUUGAUGUCAGAAAACUGAAAUGGUGUACUCGUCGUAAUGAACAUAAUGUUCAUAAUGUGAUAUGAAUACAUUGACCUAUUUUAAGGUUUCUGAAAAACAAAAAGGAAAGUUGUUGCUUUUUUAUUUCCUUAUGUAGUAUAGUGAUUAUGGAUGCUUAGAUAUUCUCAAACAUUUUUCCGCUUUGAUUGCAAUCUAUUAUUCUGGUUGCCUUGUUUAUGAAUUAUAGUUUUGAAUUAUUAUUUUGAA